AACGAACGCUGGCGGCGUGGAUUAGGCAUGCAAGUCGAACGUGAAGGGGUCCUUCGGGGCUCCGGAAAGUGGCAAACGGGUGAGUAACACGUGGGAAACCUGCCCUUAUGUUGGGAAUAACACUUCUAACGAGGUGCUAAUACCGAAUACGAUCAUCCGGUCGCAUGGCCGGGUGAUGAAAGGCGGCCUCUGCUUGCAAGCUGUCGCAUAAGGAUGGUCCCGCGCCCCAUUAGCUAGUUGGUGAGGUAAUGGCCCACCAAGGCUAUGAUGGGUAGCCGGCCUUAGCGGGUGUCCGGCCACACUGGGACUGAGACACGGCCCAGACUCCUACGGGUGGCAG
rnacentral:rRNA from 1 species